rnacentral:tRNA from 3 species
UGGGGUGUAGCCAAGCGGUAAGGCAGUGGAUUUUGAUUCCACCAUGCGGAGGUUCGAAUCCUCCCUCCCCAGCCG